rnacentral:rRNA from 1 species
AUUGAACGCUGGCGGCAUGCUUUACACAUGCAAGUCGAACGGCAGCGCGGGCUUCGGCCUGGCGGCGAGUGGCGAACGGGUGAGUAAUACAUCGGAACGUGCCCAGUAGUGGGGGAUAGCUCGGCGAAAGCCGGAUUAAUACCGCAUACGACCUGAGGGUGAAAGCGGGGGAUCUUCGGACCUCGCGCUAUUGGAGCGGCCGGUGGCAGAUUAGCUAGUUGGUGGGGUAAAGGCCUACCAAGGCGACGAUCCGUAGCUGGUCUGAGAGGACGACCAGCCACACUGGGACUGAGACACGGCCCAGACUCCUACGGGAGGCAGCAGUGGGGAAUUUUGGGCAAUGGGCGAAAGCCUGACGGAGCAAUGCCGCGUGUGUGAUGAAGGGCUUCGGGUUGUAAAGCACUGUUGGUAGGGAAGAAAAAGAGUGUGACAAACCCUGCGUUUCAUGACGGUACCCGAAGAAAAAGCAACGGCUAACUACGUG